UUUUUGAUCGGAAGUAUGUUUAAUACUCCUAUUAGACCAUUCUCCAUAGACAGCACACCGCAGCAUAAUUCCUAUAAUAAUAUAAGUAAUAAAAAUCGUGAUUAUAAUAUCCCCCAAGUUGAUAAAUAAUUUCAGAGGAAAUUCCAAGUCCAUUUUGACAUUUUGAGAGAAAAAGAAGAAAAAUGAAAGAGAAAAUUUGCUGCUAAAUGCUUCCCGGCGCCAUCUACCGGCAGUGUUUAGUUCUGCCAUCAUCCACUGCGAGCGCUAAACAGUGCCAUUUUCAUGUAUUUGCUUAGCACUUUUUGUUCGAGAGCUGCUGAUUGGCCAGCAGACCGAUUCAGCAAAAAAAUGCUGAAAAUCCUAUUUUAUUCUGCUAACUGUGCUCGCUGGGUAGUCCAUUGUUCCCCAAAAAGUUCAGUUGUCUCCUGAUGAUUGAAGAGUGUUUGGUGCUGUGUCUCCGAGAUCUUUGUGUGAGCACCCUGGAACCCUCCCGCCAAGGUUACACGAUCCCCCAAAUAACGAAACCCAGUGAUCUUUGACAUCACUCGACCACUGAGGAAGACACGGAGCGUGUCGAAAGCUCUGGUAGAAGAGUGAGUUUUCUGAUCUUAGGGUUGAAGACUCCACAGA